GUGAACGCUGGCGGCAGGCCUAACACCUGCAAGUCGAACGGCAGCACCAGAGAGCUUGUUCUCUGGGUGGCGAGUGGCGGACGGGUGAGGAAUGCAUCGGAAUCUGCCCAUUUGUGGGGGAUAACCUCGGGAAACCGGGACUAAUACCGCAUACGACCUACGGGUGAAAGCAGGGGAUCUUCGGACCUUGCGCAGAUGGAUGAGCCGAUGCCGGAUUAGCUAGUUGGAGGGGUAAAGGCCCACCAAGGCGACGAUCCGUAGCUGGUCUGAGAGGAUGAUCAGCCACACUGGGACUGAGACACGGCCCAGACUCCUACGGGAGGCAGCAGUGGGGAAUAUUGGACAAUGGGCGCAAGCCUGAUCCAGCCAUGCCGCGUGUGUGAAGAAGGCCUUCGGGUUGUAAAGCACUUUUGUUGGGAAAGAAAAGCAGCCGGUUAAUACCCGGUUGUCAUGACGGUACCCAAAGAAUAAGCACCGGCUAACUUCGUG
rnacentral:rRNA from 1 species